CCGAGUGAGGGCCUCUGGCCCGACCUCCAACCCUUUGUGGACCACACUUGUUGCCUCGGGGGCGACCCGGCCUCCGCGCCGGGGUCCCCCGUGGACCGUCAACUCUGUAUCUGUACGUCGGAGUACUUGAUGAAUCAAUCA
rnacentral:misc_RNA from 1 species